ensembl:lncRNA
UUUGUUAUUAAGAAUCAUAUUAUCUUAUGAUGGUUUUUGAGAAUGAGUGCAUAUAAUCUUACCGCAUUCUGCAACAGUGGUUUUGAUUGUUGUCACCAAAGUAGUGUCUCUGAAAGUUAGUCCCUGUGAGGGAGUUGAGGGAGUGGAUACUGCUACAAAUGUUGAGGUUCUUGUUAUUACUGUAGUAGUACCACUUGUUAAUGGCAUUAUUGGUCUUAGAGUAGUGACAUCACUUGUGACUGUCGAUGUAGCAGUGGGAGUUGUGGCAUCACUUGAAGUGACUGUAGACGUAGUUGAAGUAGUGGUGGCAUCGCUUGAAGUGACUGUGGAUGUAGUUGAGGGAGUGGUGGCAUCACUUGAAGUGACUGUAGACGUAGUUGAAGUAGUGGUGGCAUCACUUGAAGUGACUGUGGAUGUAGGUGAAGUAGUGGUGGCAUCACUUGAAGUGACUGUGGAUGUAGUUGAAGGAGUGGUGGCAUCACUUGAAGUGACUGUUGAUGUAGUUGAAGGAGUGGUGGCAUCACUUGAAGUGGAUGUUGAUGUAGUUGAGGGAGUGGUGGCAUCACUUGAAGUGACUGUAGAUGUAGUUGAAGGAGUGGUGGCAUCACUUGAAGUGGAUGUUGAUGUAGUUGAGGGAGUGGUAUCUUCAUUUGAAUUGGGUGGUGGUGGCAUCACUUGAAGUGACUGUUGAUGUAGUUGAGGGAGUGGUGGCAUCACUUGAAGUGACUGUUGAUGUAGUUGAGGGAGUGGUGGAAUCACUUGAAGUGACUGUUGAUGUAGUUGAGGGAGUGGUGGCAUCACUUGAAGUGACUAUUAAUAUAGUUGAGGGAGUGGUGGAAUCACUUGAAGUGACUGUGGAUGUAGUUGAGUGAGUGGUGGAAUCACUUGAAGAGGGUGUUGGUGUAGUUGAGGGAGUGGUGGAAUCACUUGAAGUGACUGUUGAUGUAGUUGAGUGAGUGGUGGAAUCACUUGAAGAGGGUGUUGGUGUAGUUGAGGGAGUGAUGGCAUCACUUGAUGUGACUGCUGAUGUAGUAUCACUUGGAGUGACAAUUGAUGUAGUUGAGGCAGUGGUGCCAUCACUUGAAGUGGGUGUUGAGGGAGUAGUGGCAUCACUUG